rnacentral:misc_RNA from 1 species
GAUGAAGAACGCAGCGAAAUGCGAUAAGUAAUGUGAAUUGCAGAAUUCAGUGAAUCAUCGAAUCUUUGAACGCGCAUUGCGGCCCCUGGUAUUCCGGGGGGCAUGCCUGUUCGAGCGUCAUUUGUACCUUCAAGCUUUGCUUGGUGUUGGGUGUUUGUCUCGCCUUUGCGUGUAGACUCGCCUUAAAAUAAUUGGCAGCCGGCGUAUUGAUUUCGGAGCGCAGUACAUCUCGCGCUUUGCACUCAUAACGACAGCGUCCAAAAGUACAUUUUACACUCUUGACCUCGGAUCAGGUAGGGAUACCCGCUGAACUUAAGCAUAUCAAUAAGCGGAGGA